UACGGGGGGGGCAAGCGUUGUUCGGAAUUACUGGGCGUAAAGGGCUCGUAGGCGGCCAACUAAGUCAGACGUGAAAUCCCUCAGCUUAACUGGGGAACUGCGUCUGAUACUGGAUGGCUUGGAUUUGGGAGAGGGAUGCGGAAUUCCAGGUGUAGCGGUGAAAUGCGUAGAUAUCUGGAGGAACACCGGUGGCGAAGGCGGCAUCCUGGACCAAUAUUGACGCUGAGGAGCGAAAGCUAGGGGAGCAAACGGG
rnacentral:rRNA from 1 species